rnacentral:lncRNA from 1 species
CUACCAUAUACAGACACCAACUAGUAUCCCCUUUAUGAUCUAGCCAGGUCAUUACAGUAUAUACAGUAUCUCUACCAUAUACAGACACCAACUAGUAUCCCCUUUAUGAUCUAGCCAGGUCAUUACAGUAUAUACAGUAUCUCUACCAUAUACAGACACCAACUAGUAUCCCCUUUAUGAUCUAGCCAGGUCAUUACAGUAUAUACAGUAUCUCUACCAUAUACAGACACCAACUAGUAUCCCCUUUAUGAUCUAGCCUGGCCAUUACAGUAUAUUCUGUAUCUCUACCAUAUACAGACACCAACUAGUAUCCCC